rnacentral:rRNA from 1 species
UACAGAGGUCUCGAGCGUUAGGCGGAAUCACUGGGCUUAAAGCGUGUGUAGGUGGAUGCCUAAGUACCUUGUGAAAUCCCACAGCUUAACUGUGGAACUGCUUGGUAUGCUGGGUGUCUUGAGUCACUCAGGGGCGAGCGGAACAAAUGGUGGAGCGGUGAAAUGCGUAGAUAUCAUUUGGAACGCCAAUGGUGAAAACAGCUCGCUGGGGGUGCACUGACACUGAGACACGAAAGCCAGGGGAGCGAACGGG